rnacentral:rRNA from 1 species
UACGAAGGGGGCUAGCGUUGCUCGGAAUCACUGGGCGUAAAGGGUGCGUAGGCGGGUCUUUAAGUCAGGGGGGAAAUCCUGGAGCUCAACUCCAGAACUGCCUUUGAUACUGAAGAUCUUGAGUUCGGGAGAGGUGAGUGGAACUGCGAGUGUAGAGGUGAAAUUCGUAGAUAUUCGCAAGAACACCAGUGGCGAAGGCGGCUCACUGGCCCGAUACUGACGCUGAGGAACGAAAGCGUGGGGAGCGAACAGG